AGUGGAGUCUCUGUAAACGUUCAAGAUCUAGCGCCAUCCUGUGCUGGGGCUUUAUUUGGUGUCAUGAACACAUGUGGUGCCUUUUCAGGGGUCUUAAUGGUGUAUUUCUCAGGGUAUCUCAUCGAGGCUACAGGCUCAUGGGCGUCUGUCUUUGCUCAAGUCACUGUGGUCAACCUGAUAGGCCUCUGCACCUUCUUGGCUUUUGCCGAAGCCAGACGGAUCGACAUUGACUGCGUUAAGGUCAGUCACAACAACAUUCAUAUCUGAAGCAGGAGCCUCACAUGGACCAGAACCGUGGACAAGGACAACCAGCAGCUUGGAAACA